rnacentral:rRNA from 1 species
AUUGAACGCUGGCGGCAGGCCUAACACAUGCAAGUCGAACGAGUGGCGGACGGGUGAGUAAUGUAUGGGAAUCUGGCUUAUGGCGGGGGAUAACUACGGGAAACUGUAGCUAAUACCGCGUACCAUAGGAUGAGCCCAUGUGGGAUUAGGUUUUAGGUGGGGUAAAGGCUCACCAAGCCGACGAUCCCUAGCUGGUCUGAGAGGAUGACCAGCCACACUGGGACUGAGACACGGCCCAGACUCCUACGGGAGGCAGCAGUGGGGAAUAUUGCACAAUGGGCGCAAGCCUGAUGCAGCCAUGCCGCGUGUAUGAAGAAGGCCUUCGGGUUGUAAAGUACUUUCAGUCGGGAGGCGUUACCGACAGAAGAAGCACCGGCUAACUCCGUGCCAGCCGCCGCGGUAAUUC